GAUGAACGCUGGCGGCGUGCCUAAUACAUGCAAGUCGAGCGAACGGACGAGAAGCUUGCUUCUCUGAUGUUAGCGGCGGACGGGUGAGUAACACGUGGAUAACCUACCUAUAAGACUGGGAUAACUUCGGGAAACCGGAGCUAAUACCGGAUAAUAUUUUGAACCGCAUGGUUCAAAAGUGAAAGACGGUCUUGCUGUCACUUAUAGAUGGAUCCGCGCUGCAUUAGCUAGUUGGUAAGGUAACGGCUUACCAAGGCAACGAUGCAUAGCCGACCUGAGAGGGUGAUCGGCCACACUGGAACUGAGACACGGUCCAGACUCCUACGGGAGGCAGCAGUAGGGAAUCUUCCGCAAUGGGCGAAAGCCUGACGGAGCAACGCCGCGUGAGUGAUGAAGGUCUUCGGAUCGUAAAACUCUGUUAUUAGGGAAGAACAUAUGUGUAAGUAACUGUGCACAUCUUGACGGUACCUAAUCAGAAAGCCACGGCUAACUACGUGCCAGCAGCCGCGGUAAUACGUAGGUGGCAAGCGUUAUCCGGAAUUAUUGGGCGUAAAGCGCGCGUAGGCGGUUUUUUAAGUCUGAUGUGAAAGCCCACGGCUCAACCGUGGAGGGUCAUUGGAAACUGGAAAACUUGAGUGCAGAAGAGGAAAGUGGAAUUCCAUGUGUAGCGGUGAAAUGCGCAGAGAUAUGGAGGAACACCAGUGGCGAAGGCGACUUUCUGGUCUGUAACUGACGCUGAUGUGCGAAAGCGUGGGGAUCAAACAGGAUUAGAUACCCUGGUAGUCCACGCCGUAAACGAUGAGUGCUAAGUGUUAGGGGGUUUCCGCCCCUUAGUGCUGCAGCUAACGCAUUAAGCACUCCGCCUGGGGAGUACGACCGCAAGGUUGAAACUCAAAGGAAUUGACGGGGACCCGCACAAGCGGUGGAGCAUGUGGUUUAAUUCGAAGCAACGCGAAGAACCUUACCAAAUCUUGACAUCCUUUGACAACUCUAGAGAUAGAGCCUUCCCCUUCGGGGGACAAAGUGACAGGUGGUGCAUGGUUGUCGUCAGCUCGUGUCGUGAGAUGUUGGGUUAAGUCCCGCAACGAGCGCAACCCUUAAGCUUAGUUGCCAUCAUUAAGUUGGGCACUCUAAGUUGACUGCCGGUGACAAACCGGAGGAAGGUGGGGAUGACGUCAAAUCAUCAUGCCCCUUAUGAUUUGGGCUACACACGUGCUACAAUGGACAAUACAAAGGGCAGCGAAACCGCGAGGUCAAGCAAAUCCCAUAAAGUUGUUCUCAGUUCGGAUUGUAGUCUGCAACUCGACUACAUGAAGCUGGAAUCGCUAGUAAUCGUAGAUCAGCAUGCUACGGUGAAUACGAUCCCGGGUC
rnacentral:rRNA from 1 species